UCUAGCCACAGAACGUGCGCCCUCAGCAGCCAUCUACCGCCGUCCUCAGCCGCAGAACACGCAAGCCUCUCCCGGGCGCGCCUGCUACCGCCGUCGGCUGUCCUCAGCCGCCCUCCAGUGAAUUUCAAUGGCAACAAAUAGCGAGUUAUUGUCUGUCGGUCAAAGUAAUGACUCCUAUGACCCACUCAAAGAUCAGUCACGAAGGCCAAAGUCAAAUGAUCCAGGAUGGAAAUAUGCAUACUAUGUUGAGGCAGGAAAGAGAGAGCUAAUUCAAUGUGCUUUGUGCCCUAAACAAAUAAAAGCAGGUAUCAAGAGGGUGAAAGAACAUCUAGCUGGUGGCUAUGGAGACAUUGUCAAGUGUCCUAACACUACUAGAGAGAUUGCUAAAGAGAUGAAUGAAGCUUUGAAUAUUGGGAAGCAUGCUAGGCCAUUGUGCCUAGAUGACGAUGUAAUGGAAGAUGAUGAUGUCCAAGUUAUGGGAAGCAGGUAAAUGUCAGCAUCAUCCAAG
rnacentral:misc_RNA from 1 species